AGUCACCUACGGGGCGCAGCAGUGGGGAAUAUUGCACAAUGGGCGAAAGCCUGAUGCAGCAACGCCGCGUGAGCGAUGAAGGCCUUCGGGUCGUAAAGCUCUGUCCUCAAGGAAGAUAAUGACGGUACUCGAGGAGGAAGCCCCGGCUAACUACGUGCCAGCAGCCGCGGUAAUACGUAGGGGGCUAGCGUUAUCCGGAAUUACUGGGCGUAAAGGGUGCGUAGAUGGUUUCUUAAGU
rnacentral:rRNA from 1 species